CAGCCUUUAAAAAAAAAAGACACGUCAACACAACACUAUUCGGCUUUGAAUAUAUAAAGGAUGCAACAGAUCUGCACUGUCACAGAGGUGAAGUGGACUCAACUCAAUUCUACUUAUUCCGAACCAAAAGAAUAGUUUUCAUCUAAUUUCUUUUGUUUUCGCUUUGGAUAAACAGGACAACACCAUGGCAGUGGGAUUAAUGAUAUCAAUCUUCCUGGUACUGACGCAAGCAAAUACCGCUGCUACACAAACUACAGACGCACCAACAGCUGCUCCAACAGCCGCACCAACAGCUGCUCCAACAGCUGCUGCAUCCACAACAGCAGCUCCAACAGCCGCACCAACAGCUGCUCCAACAGCUGCUGCAUCCACAACAGCCGCACCCACAGCUGCUCCAACAGAUGCACCAACAGCCGCACCAACAGCUGCUCCAACAGCUGCACCAACAGCUGCUGCAUCCACAACAGCCACACCAACAGCUGCUGCAUCCACAACAGCAGCUCCAACAGCUGCUGCAUCCACAACAGCUGCAGUAUCCACAACAGCUGCUGCAUCCACAACCGCUGCUGCAUCCACAACAGCUGCUGCAUCCACAACAGCCACACCAACAGCCGCACCAACAGCUGCUGCAUCCACAACAGCUGCUGCAUCCACAACAGCCGCACCAACAGCUGCUGCAUCCACAACAGCCGCACCAACAGCUGCUGCAUCCACAACAGCCACACCAACAGCUGCUGCAUCCACCACAGCCGCACCAACAGCUGCUGCAUCCACAACAGCUGCACCAACAGCUGCUGCAUCCACAACCGCUGCUGUAUCCACAACCGCUGCUGUAUCCACAACAGCUGCUGCAUCAACAACAGCUGCUGCAUCCACAACAGCUGCUGCAUCCACAACAGCUGCUGCAUCCACAACCGCCGCACCAACAGAUGCUGCAUCCACAACCGCUGCACCAACAGAUGCUGCAUCCACAACCGCCGCACCAACAACUGCACCAACAGCUGCACCCACAACCACUGCAUCUACAGCAAAAUUUGUGAAAUUCAGAUCUGUUUCUGACAUAUUUACAGAUGACUUGUUGAAUGCAUCAUCAGCCCCUUUUAAAACUCUAGCUGCAAAGAGAAAGAGUGUGCUUGAACCUUUCUACAAAAAACAAUUCCCUUCUUUCAAAUCCUUCGACGUGCUGUCAUUCAGGAAAGGAUCAGUCAUCACUGAGGCCAGCGUUACGUUUGAUAGCACAGGUGUUCCUGCUGACACUGAGAUCAAACAAGUUUUGGUGAAUGCAUCUUCCUCUGUCCAGGGCUUCGACAUUGAAAGCAGCUCCAUCAGUGUCAGUGACACAUCUUCAGGUGUGAUCCACAAGUUUAGUGUCCUCACAGCAUCCUGCCUGGUGCUGUUGUCAUGGCUACUGACAAGCCAGCAGUAGAACCUGUGCUGACUUCUACGGCUGCCAUCGCUUAAACAAAAGAAACAUUACAGUCCAUAAAAAUACAGGAAUCCAGAUUAUCUUGAAUCCUAUAUGUGAGAUGAACUUAAAGUUUUAUUGACAGUGGAUCAGAUAUGUCUGUGAUAAAAAGCCUAUAAUUUGGUUGAAGUAUAUCAUUGUCUAGUAUUUGUAUGAUUUAAAAUGUGUAUAACAGUCUCCGUCCACAUAAUGUGCUGUUCUCAUAGAGUGACCUGCAUUUGCAAGUUGCACUAAGACCAUAUGUAUGUCCUAAAUAAACAUUAAUACAAACAUCUGGGAUGCA
rnacentral:lncRNA from 1 species